UCAAAAACGCAGCCACUUUUCAGCUCAGGAGAGGAUGGAGGCAGCCUGCUACAAGCUAGGAAGCCUUAUCGCGGGUCCUUCAUUUCUGCCACUCUGCAGAUGACAGACAACGUAUUUCUCCGAGGGACACCCAGAGUGGGCAGGCAGAGCCUGUCAUGGUACAAACAGCGACCCCUGUUGGACGACGACGGUGUUGGCAGGAAGAGUCUUGGGGGCCGUCUUGGCCCCUUUGAGCUGCUUACGGAAUACCACAGACUGGGUGGCUGACAAAUAACAGAAGUUUAUUCCUGACAGUUUUGGAGGCUGGAGGUUCAAACUCAAGAUGCUAGCAGAUUCAGGGUCUGGUGAGUGCCCGUGUGCUGAUUCGUAGACUAACUUUAAACUCACAUGGUUGGGGGAUAGGGGGCAAGAAAUCUCUCCUGGACCUCAUUUAAAAACGGUAUUACUCCCUGAAGGCCCACCUCCUAAUAGCAUCACAGUGGGCAUUAG
rnacentral:lncRNA from 1 species